CAUCGCAAGGCGGUUAAAGUGCAGACUUAGGGGGAACCCGCCCCUGGGGUGUGAGGAGCAGCCCCAGGGGCUUCACGGAACUCGCUAGAGGACACACUAAAGGGCGCCGACAGUGACAAUUCGCAAGCUGGAUGGAGCCCGCAUAGCAUUCAGGAAGCAACCCAAAACACACAACUAACCACGGCAAGUGUCUAAUGUUCUGAGUGCUCUGGGCCAGGGGCACCUUUGCCACUGUUCUGUUUCCUCCUGCCAAUGAGAACUCCUUCUCCUUAAACACCUGGCAUGGAUGGUCAACUAACUAGAUGAAAAACAGACUGAUGGCUUGCUGUUGAAGGCUGAGAAACAGAGACCACGCACAGCCCUUCACUUCUUCUUCACAAGACCGUGGGAGACAUUUUUUAUUACAUUGGCUAGGAGACUUGCAUUCAAAACCAGCUGAGUAAAU